UUUUCAUCAUGUUUAUGCCUUAAGGACCAAAUGGAACUUAAGUCCAUACAUUAAGAACCAUUAAUUUCGAUUACUCUCUCUACGCAUAAAUGAUAUUCAGAAAUUAUGUGAAGUUCUCAAUGCCAUGCUAAUUUCACGAAGUAUUUCACUUAAUAGUUCGGGGCAGACCCAGUUUUGACCCGGGUACUCGGGUCAAGAACGGAUUUACAUACAAAAAUAGAGAAGAGGGAAUUACAGGAAGAAGAUUUGUGCUCCUCGUUAUUGUGAUGCAUAAGGUGGUGGAAAUUCUGGCUCAGUCCUUUGGAUAGAGUCCCAGAUCGGUUGGGGAAUGGACCGGUGGUCUGCUUAUAUGGACUUAGCAAUCUUCUGCUCAUGAGCUAGCUUUUUUGGAGUGGAGUUAGACUCAAGUGUCAUGUCUUUACAAUAUUUUGUAUACUAUUGGCAUGAGAUAGAGUUUAUCCUUUGAUGCUGGUGUAAAGGUUUGUUAGAGGUAAUCUAGCUGAAUUUAGUUGUAACCGUACUCUAUACGGUCCAAGCACUCUCCAUUUGAAGGUUUAAUGAAUGAAAAACCUAAAUUUGUCUCUACUUUUUCUCUCAUCUUGUGCUCAUUUCUCAUCUCAUCUCUGUUUCCCAAUGCUUUGCUUCAUUUUGUAAUUGCUUUGAUUGAGUUAAAGUGCGAUAAGUUUGUAUCAGAGCCCUUCGAUCCAGAGCACCUGUGUGAUGGCUAAAAAUCAGAGAAUGAAGAACCUGGAAGAAAGUUAAGAAGAUAUGAGUCUCAACUGCAAAAUUUUGAAAUGUGUCUGCUAUGAAGACUGCUAUGAGUUCUCAGCGUUGUGAUUGCUCAGAAAUUCAGCCCAGUAGAUCUUCUUGAAGCUAAUCCACAUUACUCUCGCCACAACCAAACUGCUCUCCUGUUUCUGUAAGUUUCUCUUCCCAACCUACUGUGUGAAAUCCUGCUAUAAACUACAGUUUCAGCAAAUUACUUAGAUUUGGCACGUGAACAAGAAUUUUGUUUUCAUUCAUGAUAUGAUGAACUAAUGGAUGCUCAAUUUCUACCCUGUUUGCUUAAUGUUAACUUCAUAGUUUGUAAAUCAUAAGAGAAAAAUUUUCUCCGAGCUUUUAGAAUGAGAUAAUGUUUGAUGCAGCCCGCGUGAACUAAUUCUCGUGUAUCAAUUGCACAACAGGAAAGUGGCAGCUUUAAUAUCGCCAGUUUACUCGAUUGCAGGGUCAAUAUAAAAUGCUAUGGUCAGAUUUCAGGACCAAGAAUGUUGCAUCUCAUCUUUUAUUUUGUAGUCAGGGAACUUUUUAUCUCAAUCCAGUUACCAAGUUAGAGGAAGUGCUAACUACAGAACGUGAAGUUUUCUAAAACCAGGAAGUUUUGUUUGGUUUAUCCUUUUGUGUCAACAGGGAUUAAUAUCCUAAAACCUGUACUAACUUAUCAGAUGAAUAAUAAAUUGCCAUUUGCUCUUUUGCUUUCAUCCUUUUCACAUUAGAUUUAUUGUUCUC